UACGUAGGGUGCGAGCGUUGUCCGGAAUUACUGGGCGUAAAGAGCUCGUAGGUGGUUUGUCGCGUUGUUCGUGAAAACUCACAGCUUAACUGUGGGCGUGCGGGCGAUACGGGCAGACUGGAGUACUGCAGGGGAGACUGGAAUUCCUGGUGUAGCGGUGGAAUGCGCAGAUAUCAGGAGGAACACCGGUGGCGAAGGCGGGCUUCUGGGACGAGUAACUGACGCUGAGGACGACGAAGCGUGGGGAGCAAACAGGAUUAGAACCUCCGAGU
rnacentral:rRNA from 1 species